rnacentral:rRNA from 1 species
ACGUAGGGAGCAAGCGUUGUCCGGAUUUACUGGGUGUAAAGGGUGCGUAGGCGGAUCUGCAAGUCAGGCGUGAAAUCCAUGGGCUUAACCCAUGAACUGCGCUUGAAACUGUGGGUCUUGAGUGAAGUAGAGGUAGGCGGAAUUCCCGGUGUAGCGGUGAAAUGCGUAGAGAUCGGGAGGAACACCAGUGGCGAAGGCGGCCUACUGGGCUUUAACUGACGCUGAGGCACGAAAGUGUGGGUAGCAAACAG